GUCUACAGUCAUAUCACCCUGAACAAGCCCAAUGUUUGAUCUCAUAAUCUAAGCAGGGUCAGGCCUGGUUAGUACUUGGAUGAGACCACCUAGGAAGACUGGGGGCUUAGCAA
rnacentral:rRNA from 1 species